rnacentral:lncRNA from 1 species
GAAAUGGGAAAUCUGAAUUCUUAAAUAUUAGCAACUAGUUGAAAAUUUUACAAUAUAGCUGCCCGUGAGGUGUGUGCCUCACUGGUUUGCUUCUUCUAGUCUGAGCGAACGCCUCCUUUUCCUUUGUAAUUUUGCUCAAGGGUCACCUCUUUGUGCUUUCAUAGUUUGUACUGGCAACAACCAGAGUACUUAUCAUGUGGACUAUAAUACUGAUUGGACUCCUCAGAGAACCCAACUAGAUAAUGAGCUCCUAGGAGACGAGGAUUAGAAAGCAGCAAGCUUGGUCCACGUUCUUUUGGCUUCUUGUUAGCAUUCUGCCAUCAGCUAUGUUAUAUCAAACUCACAGUGUCAUCCGAUAUAGAUAUACGAUGUGGUCAAGGAAACAUUACAGAAUCCCUUUAUAUGUUCCAUGAAAGCAUCACUUGAGUUUUAGUUCCAGAAAAGCUUGAUGUUUUGAAAGCAACUGGGGUGUGUGUGUGUGUGUGUGUACGCUCUUUGCUGUGGCCUACAGGGAGCUCUGCCUCAUUUACAAUCCACCUCUCUCAAUGGAAUGUUCACCUGACAUAUGUUUUCUUUUAUCCUAAUUUAUUCUUUGUUUUAUACACUUAUAUUUCAGGGUUUUUUUUUUUAAGGCAACUCAAAGCCUUUUAAAAAAGUCUCUUGAAGUGUAGUUGAUUUACAAUGUUGUGAUAAUUUCUGAUGUAUAAAACUGAUUCAGUUACAUAUACACACACACAUCCAUUUUCUUUCCAAUUCUUUUCCCACAUAGGUUACCACAGAAUAUUGGGUAGGGUUCUCUGUGCUGUUGUACAGCAGGUCCCUAUUAACCAACCAUUUCCAUAUACUACAGUGUGCCUAUGCCAAUCCCAAAUUCCCAGUCCAUCACUCCCCCACUCCCAUUUAUCUCCUUUGGUAACUAUAAAUUUCUCAAAGUCUGUGAGUCUGUUUCUGUUCUGCGAGUAAGUUCUUUUGUAUCUUUUUUUUUUUUAGAUUUCACAUAUAUGCGACAUCAUAUGAUGUUUGUCUUUCACUGACUAAUUUCACGUAGUACGAUACUCUCUAGUUCCAUUCAUGUUGCUGCAAAUGGCAUUAUUUCAUUAUUUUUAUGGCUGAGAAAUAGUCCAUUGUGUAUAUGUACCACAUCUUCUUUAUCCAUUCAUUUGCCAAUGGACAUUUAGGUUGCUUCCAUGUCUUGGCUAUUGUGAAUAGUGCUUCUAUGAAAGUUAGGGUGCAUAUAUUUUUGGAGUUAUAGUUUCCUCCUGAUAGAUGCCCAGGAGUGGGAUUGCUGGAUCAUAUAGUAGUUCUAUUUUUAGUUUUUUGAGGAAACUCCAAAAACUUUUUUCUUAACAAAAUGGGGGAAGGUGAGUAUGCAGUGCCUUUUACCUUUUUUAUGAGUUCACAGGGACCUGCCAAUAACGUUCUAUGUAUAAAUAUUUGAUGAAUAUACACUGAAUGAUGAAUAGACAAUGAGAUAUUUGAUCAUGUCAAUCACUUUUCUUUAGAUAAUCUGUUUAAAGUGCCAAAUAAAUUAAGGUGGCAAACCACAGUUUUCAUUACUGAGAAUGAAGAUGGGUAUUUGAGAUCUUAGCUUCUUUGCCAUAUUCAUAAUUUCACUGCUAGAACUCCAUACCAGAGCAGCUAAUGAGAAUAAGUUUAAGAAGACUGAAAUUGAAUCACAUUAUAACUGACACUUCGAGGAUUAAUUUUACAACUUGUGAUUUUAAUUUUGGUGAAAAUGUAUUUAAAAUUAUCUCUUGUCACCAUCUCUUAUUAAACAUAAUGAAACUUGAUGAUAUUCCAAUAACAUUAAACUGUUUUGGUAGUCACUGAGGUUAGUCUGAAAAGACUAUUCAAGCUAAGAAAAUAGUGGGUCGGUUUUGAAAGAAAGUAUUUGGGGAGACUUGAGUUGCCUGCUCUUUCAUUCAGCUCACACACUACACUUUUGCUCACACUAGUGGGUAAUUUAGAAGUUAUUCUGUAAGUUAGGAGAACUGGUGUGCCAUUAAUGGGGGGAAAUCAAGGACAUUAGCAAAGAAGGAAACAAGAAGAGAGGAGAGAUCAUGUCACUGUAAUUUGGUUUCUAUGUUCUGGGCUGAUUUUUAUCAUUAGCAGGCCAAGAGAUACUGGAUCCCCAAAACCUGGAAAAUAAAAUUACUAUGCAAUGAGGUCACUGCAUUUCUCUUUUUAUUCUUUUUUUGGUCACUUUGUCUUUUCUAGGGCCGCUCCCGUGGCACAUGGAGGUUCCCAGCCUAGGGGUCUAAUUGGAGCUAUAGCUGCCGGCCUACAUCACAGCCACCUACACCACAGCUGUGUCUGCCACCUACACCACAGCUCAUGGCAAUGCUGGAUCCUUAACCCACUGAGCAAGGCCAGGGAUCAAACCUGCAACCUCAUGGUUCCUAGUCAGAUUCAUUAACCACUGAGCUAUGGCGGGAGCUCCGCUUUUCUCUUUUUAGAUCAUCCUUCUUCCCUCCUUCACUUCCUUCUUUCCUUUUCUUCCUUUUUUUCUUUCUAACUCAGGUCUCACAUCCAUGGUGUGAUCUUCAUCUUGAAUCAACUUUUUCCUUUGGCCAGAACCAGGAAAAAAUUUAUUUUGGGAUAGAAUGAGAGUACACAGUAAAGGUGGAAUGAUGGCUAGUUUCUCAUUUUUCCUAAUGGUGGAGUUACAGUUGGCCUGAAAGCUUGCUACAUUCCCAACAUUUGCUAAUUUAGGGACUUGAUAGGCUCACUUCAUAGAUCUUCCUUUAUUAUUUUUUUUUUUUCAAAAAACUGGCAGAUUUUUCGUAGCAUUCUUUUGACUCUAUCAUCAUUCCAUUCUCUGUCCUUAACCUCAUUCCCAAGUGUGAAUUAUGGUAAUACAACAAACAUGUCUUGAAUAUCUACUAUAUAUCCGGUGCCUGCUGGGCAUGGGAAAUUCUGACCAGCAUAAGAAUCAAUAUUUGCCAUUUGGAGCUCAUUGUUUAGUGGGAAAAACAGACAAGUCAACCACUAAUUCUAGGAUAAUCAGAGACGUGUUAUAAAAGCCUAUGACCUAAAUGCCAGAAGAAAGAAGGAUUGGAAGGCUUUUCAGAGGUGACAUCAAAAAGGGCCUGGAAGGAUCUGCAAGGUUCUAGCUGGAGAAAAAGAGACUUCUGAUAGAAGAAAAGCCUGUACAAGACCACAGAGACACCCCCCACAGGCAAAGCUAGAUAUCAUGGAAGUAGAGGGAACCAGUGUGGGUGAGUAGAGGAGUCCUGGAAAGUGGAGCCAGGGCUCAGGCUAUAGGAAACCUUUGCUAUGCUAGGGAUCUUCGAUUGUAUCCUUUGAGUUACGGAGAGCCAUGGACAUUGUAAAUAAGAUAAGAGGCAUCACCUGUGGUUAAAGAGGAUCAUAAUGGAGCAAGAAAAGGUUUAAGGGAAGACUAGUUCAGAAACUAUUCACACAAUCUAGGUGGGAGAUGCUAUGGGUCUAAGUAGAUAAUGGAAGGUAUAUACAUACAUAUAUAUAUAUAUAUAUAUAUAUAUAUAUAUUAUUUUUUUUUUUUUUAGGACAGCACCUACGGCUGUGGCAUGAGGAGGUUCCCAGCCGAAGGGGUCAAACUGGAGCUGUAGCUUCCAGCCUAUACCACAGCCACAGCUACGCGGGUUCUGAGCUGCAUCUGCGACCUACAUCACAGUUCACCUCAACGCCGCAUCCUUAACCCACUGAGCGAGGCCGGGGAUCAAACCUGCGUCCUCGUGGAU